rnacentral:lncRNA from 1 species
AGGAUGGUGAGGGAAUGGUUUGGGGGAGAGGUUACUGUGAGGGAAUGGUUUGGGGGAGGGGUUACUGUGAGGGAAUGGUUUGGGGGAGGGGUUACUGUGAGGGGAUGGUUUGGGGGAGGGGUUACUGUGAGGGAAUGGUUUGGGGGAGGGGUUACUGUGAGGGAAUGGUUUGGGGGAGGGGUUACUCUGAGGGAAUGGCUUGGGGAGGGGUUACUGUGAGGGAAUGGUUUUAGAGGGGUUACUGUGAGGGAAAUGGUUUGGGAGAGGUUACUGUGAGGGAAUGGUUUGGGGGAGGGGUUACUGUGAGGGAAUGGUUUGGGGGAGGGGUUACUGUGAGGGGAUGGUUUGGGGGAGGGGUUACUGUGAGGGAAUGGUUUGGGGGAGGGGUUACUGUGAGGGAAUGGUUUGGGGGAG